CAUCUAAGUACCCCGAGGAAAAGAAAUCAACCGAGAUUCCCCCAGUAGCGGCGAGCGAACGGGGAGGAGCCCAGAGCCUGAAUCAGCAUGUGUGUUAGUGGAAGCGUCUGGAAAGGCGCGCGAUACAGGGUGACAGCCCCGUACACAAAAGCGCAUGUGCUGUGAGCUCGAUGAGUAGGGCGGGACACGUGGUAUCCUGUCUGAAUAUGGGGGGACCAUCCUCCAAGGCUAAAUACUCCUGACUGACCGAUAGUGAACCAGUACCGUGAGGGAAAGGCGAAAAGAACCCCGGCGAGGGGAGUGAAAAAGAACCUGAAACCGUGUACGUACAAGCAGUGGGAGCACCCUUCGGGGUGUGACUGCGUACCUUUUGUAUAAUGGGUCAGCGACUUAUAUUCUGUAGCAAGGUUAACCGUAUAGGGGAGCCGGAGGGAAACCGAGUCUUAAC
rnacentral:rRNA from 1 species